rnacentral:ncRNA from 1 species
CCUUUAUCAAGAGUGGCGGAGGGAAAGGCCCUGCGAUGCCCGGCAACCAGUAAGUUAUCUUACAUGGUGCUAAUUCCUACAGAUUCUUUAUUGCGGAUCUGACAGAUAAGGG